GAAGACAAACUUUAUAUCAAAAUUGUAUAGCUUGACGAGGCCUAAAACUUGUAUUGAAAUUUUUUUGAUUUGAGAUUGUUUAUUACUCCAAAAUGUCAUUCUAAGUUCUCUAGCUUUGAAAUCUAAAUUUUUUGAAGUUUCAAAUGACUUCAGCUAUACAUAAGCUCUACAUCAAACUUGUAGAACUCGACGACAUCUAAAAUUUUGAAGUUAAGUUUUCAAUUUAAGAUUAUUUAAUAAUUCACAAUAUCAUUAUAAGUUCUCUAGUUUUAAAAUCUAAAAUUUUUGAAUUUUCUAAUGUCGGCUAUAGAGAAGAUCUACCUCAAAAUUAUAACACUCAAUAAGGUCUAAAUGGAUAUGAGUAUAUAUAAAUAAAUGAGUAUAGUAUAUGUUAAUGUAUAAGUAUGUGUGUGAGUACAUGUGAAUGAGUUUGGUAGAUGCAUUUUUUGAAUACAAAUUUUUUCAUGUCAUCUUGGAUGAAUACAAACUUUAUAUCAAAAUUGCAGAGCUCAAUGAAACAUAAAACCUUGUAGUCGACAACUUUUUCAUUUGAAAUCGUUUAAUAGUUCAAAAGGUCAUUCUAACCUCUCUAAUUUUGAAAUCUUGAAUUUUCAAAUUUUCAAAUGACCUCGGAUGCAAACAAGAUCUCUAUAUCAAAGUGGUAGUGCUUAAUGAGAUCUAAAAUUUUGUAGUUUACAAAUUUUUCAUUUGAGAUUCUUUAGUAGACACAAACAUACAAGUUAUUCAUUUGAUGUUAAGAACGAGAAGGAUUAAGUUUAAAACUUGAAUUUUUUUUAAUACAAACUUUUGCAUACGAUUCGGAUGAAUACAAACUUGUAGUUGACAACAUUUUUAUUUAAAAUCUUUUAGUGGUCCAAAAAUAUGUUAUAAGUUCACAAAGAAACACAUAUCCAACCACGUCAUCAAUCCACAACUUCUAAACCAAGCAUUCCUAUUGGCUCACACCUUCCCUCUCAACCUUAUCUCCUCCCAAUCCCACUGCCACCAUCGUCCGCUCUACCUC
rnacentral:lncRNA from 1 species